GUUUAUCAAGAUCAAUAACAAAUGAGGACCACACAUCAGUAAUUCUCAAACUUCAACUCAACCAGUAAAACCUUCAGACUUUCACAGUACCCUACAAUUCCAUGCGUUCCAAAAACAUCCCAUUUCUAAUUCAAUAUUUUAAAUUUAAUUAUAUUUUUAUGAAAAUUUAAUUUUACUUUUAUUUGUUUAUUUCUUAUCUCUACUGCUUUUCCCAUUUCACUGAUAAGCUUUUUUGGGGUUCGGAUCAAGGUAUCAACUGGGCCGUGUCACCCACGGGUUGACAUGAUAUGGGCAUGGAUCCCUGCUUCUUACUAGGCCGAUGGGUUGCGGCCCUUGUACCUCUAUCUCUCUUUUAAUUAUAUAUACGUAUAUACACUUAGUUAAAUAUUGACUAAAAUAAAGUUUGGAAGUUUUCCAUCAAAAAUUAUUCUAGGAGUGAUUGAUAACAACGUGAUUCUUUAGAGUUAAAAUCUUGGAAAAGUAAAAUUACAGUAGUUGAUAUGUAAAAGAAAGUGUUUAUUGAAAUUCAUAGAAAACUAUAUUCUAGGGUUUGGUAAUUAGCGGGUAAAUUUUUGAGGAGGUCACUGUGUUUUGAUCAAUUUUCACUUUGGUCACUAUUUUUCAAUUUAUAUCAAAGCUGUUAUCAGAAAUCGAUUUCAUUUUAACGAGCUGUCACUCUUGGAUUUCCAGCCAAAUUUAUCUGAUGUGACAGCCGGAGAUGCCACAUCAUAUUAAAUUAAUCAUUUCUUGACACCUAGCUGGACUGGACAUAUCAACUUUGAUCCACGUCAUAUUAACCAAUCUACUCAGCAUACACAGUCAGCUGCAUAGUCAUCAUCUUUAUCUUUCCCCUCUUUCUCUUCUUUCGUGAGAGGGUCCUAUGCUUGACCCCACAAUCCCCAAAUUACAGCCGAUCAUCUGAGAAGCAAAAAUUCUUUGUGAUCACCGGAGAGUUGCGGGGAAACGGGGAGAGGAAGAGGGAGGGAGUCUAGCUUAUGCAUUUGCUGACGAUUGGAGUUAGGGCAAGGCGGUGGCAACCAUCUCUGUACACCAUGGAGAGCGGUUGGCAGGUAAGAGGUGCGCAAGAUGAAGCUACAGUAUACUGUAAGUCAUAUUACCUCCUUGUUUCGUACAUUGAUUUGCGUAGGAUGAAGCGCCAGUGGAAAUGUAUUAUUUUUAUUAAAUCUGUGAAAGGUGUUUAAAUUUUUUUAAGAAGAUUGUUGAAGAACAUGUUAAACUUGGUUUUUGUGGGAAUGAUUACAUCCAAAGUUGUUUUUAUUACACUGGUGAAAAUUUUUAAGAAGUACGACAUAGAAGAUUUUUGAGGGGUUUUGUCUCUUGUGAUGAAACACUACUUUACAAAUUACCUAAUUCUUAAUGGGUUGUGAAUUGGAAAUUAUCAGUAAUGUUGUAUUUUAUUAAUAGUUGAUAAUUGAUAGUUGUGUAGCCCUUUGGAUUGAUGAGGCAAAAUAAUUUUUUAGGGUUAUUAUUCUAUGAUGAAUUUUUUUAACACCAUUUGCAUUAAUGUUGUCUAGUACCAAUUGCUGAAUAUUUCUCAAUACACAUGUUCUAUGGGAUGGGUGACAUUCAAAAUAGGAGUGAGUAUAGGAUGUCAGGUGUUGUAGACUUUUGUGAUACUGAUUUCUUAUUCAGAUUGGAGGUUGAACAUAUGGCCAGUGAGUUGAGCAUUUAUACAGAGGGAUGCAGUUUUUGUUUUUGUGAAACCAGGAGAGGCGUGAGAGAAAUAAAAAGUGAUUCAGAUGUCAUUAGAAUGGCUUCAAAUGUGGGCUAGAGUAGGCAUAUAAGUAUUUAUGUGAAGGUAUCUAAGAUAGAUGGUCCUAGUGGUGAGAAGAAAUUAGGACAUAUUGCAAGUGUAGAUGAGGUUAUUGAAGAUUUUAGAGAUGAAGAGGCUAAUGAACCAUCUGAUGAAGUAUUUGAUGAAGAGGAAUCCAAUGAAGGUGUAUAGGACCUCCAUUUAAAAGAAUCUGGUCAUUUACAAGAAGCUAAUGAAAAUGACCAGGAUGUCAAAUUAUGACAAUCUAGUCAUUUACAUGAAGAUACUGAAGAAAAGGGAGGCAAUGAAGAUGUGCAGGAAGUCCAAGUACAACAAUCUGGUCAUUUAGAUGAAGAUACUAAAGAGGGAAGAAGAAGUGAAUGAAGCUGUGUAAGAAUAUGAAUCAGAUGAAGUUGAUCCAUUUGAUGAAGAUCCUGAAGAAGAAGAAGAAGAAGAAGAAGAAGAAGAAAGAAGAAGAAGAAGAAGAAGAAGAAGAAGGUAAUGUAGAUGUCUAGGAACAUGAAUCAGAACAAGUUGAUCAUUUAAAUAAAGACCAUGAAGAAGAUCCUGGAGAAGAUGUAGGUAAUGAAGGUGCGCAGGAUCAUGUAGAUCAAGAUCCUGAAGAUGAGAAAGCCAAUGGGAGUGAUAUUUAUGACUCUGAUUACAGUUUAAAUAGUGAAGAGGAUGAUGGUGGGGUUGCUAGUAAUGAAGAUUGUGCUGAUGGGCCAAGGAAGAUGUCCAAGAGGAAACUGGUAAAGAAGAAAAUGUUGAUGAGGAGGAGGUCUUCACUGACUAUGCUGCAUCUGAUGAUCUACAGUCAUGUUCCACAACUGAUAAAGAUGAGAUAAAUCCACCCAAGGCUAGAUAUCCUGAAUUCAGAGAGGCAGAUGUGAAGGAUCCUCAUUUUCAUAUAGGGAUGAAGUUUAGGCAUUUGCACAAUUCAAGCAAAUAGUGAAAAAUUAUGGGGUAAAAAAUAGGGUUGUGAUUAAUUUUAGGUCUAAUAGUAAGGUCAGAUGUAAGGCAUAUUGCAGAAAGGGCUGUCCAUCUUACCUAUGGGCUUCUCCAAUGCUAAAGGAAAAGAACACUAUUUAAAUCAAACCUGGAUAUCUGAAACAUGAAUGCACAAAGGACCGUAAUAUAAGGCAUGUAGUGCUCAAAACAUAGUAGAGUAUUAUCUGGAACAAGUUAGAGUAGACCCAUCUUGAAAGCUUAGAGGCAUAAUACAGGCUAUCAGAACAAAUCAAGAGGUUGAAAUAUCUAGAUUAAAAGCAUGGAGGGCCAAAAGUAUUGCCUUAAGGUAUAACAGUGAGUUUUUUCCCCAUGUUUAUUAAGUUAUCUUGAGUCUUUAAUUUGCAUUCAACCUGAAUGCAGCAUGGUGUUUAUAACAGUGAGUUUUUUUUCCCUAUUUUUACCUACUGGGAAUUAGACUACUUGAUGGGGAUGAGCACACCCAGAUGAGUAGGCUAUAUGACUACAGGUUGGAAUUGCUCAAGACACACCCAUAAUCGACAAUAAAAUUUUAAUGCAAUGAGGGUGUGUUCUCAGCAAUGUAUGUGUGCUUAUUUCCACUCAAAAGCAGGAUUCCUGGCAGGCUAUAGAUAGGUAAUAUUAGUGGAUGGUUGUUUCUUGAAGGGACAUUAUGGAGGUCAACUUCUUACAGCUAUUGGCAUUGAUGUGAACAACUGCAUCUAUCUAGUAGCAUGGGCAGUAGUAGACAUGGAGAACUACCACAAUUGGGUCUGGUUUCUAGAACUUUUGGUUGAAGACCUGGAAAUAUGCAACUCGUAUCACUGAGCAUUCAUGAGUGACAGAUAGAAGGGCCUUCUAAAUGUAAUCGAGGAAGUAUUUCCUCAUAGUGAACACAUGUUUUCUGUAAGGAAUAUACAUACAAAUUUUAGAAGAAGAUUUAGAGGCAAAGGCCUUAAGAAUCAGUUAUGGGCCUGUGCUAGGAGUAGUUAUGUCCCUGUAUUUAAUCUGGCAAUGGAAACACUUAAGGAUAAGUCAGAGGAACAUUUUCAUGAAAAAUAUUGCCCCUGUACAUUGGAGUAGGUCACAUUUAAAAUCCAAAGUUAAUGUGACAUGUUGCUUAAUAAUUUAUGUGAAUGCUUUAACAAUCAGAUCUUGGAAGCUAGGACCAAAGGUAUAGUUAGUCUUGAUGAGAUGAUUAGGGCACAACUCAUGAUAGGGAUAAAAAAAAUGAGAAUCAAUGAAAAAAAAUGCACCACACACACUAUCCUAAGAUUGUUAACAAAUUAGAGAAAGCCAAACAACUUAGCUGGAUUUGCAGGACAACCUAGUCAGGUGGUGAAAAGUACUAGGUUGUUCGUUUUCAUGGGUAUUUUAUUGUUGACACUAAAGAUAUGUCUUGCAACUGUAGGUAGUGGCAAUUGACAGGUAUACCAUGUUUCCACCCAAUAUCAUCACUUGAUUAUAACAAAAAAACCCUGAAGAUUGCAUAGAUGAGUGCUAUACUGUUAGAACAUUCCUGUCAACCUAUAACCAUAUACUGAACCCAAACCCAAGACUCCAAUUACUGGCCCAAGAGUCCACAAGGUCCAAUGAUACCCCUAGAACCAGCAAACAUAAAUAGGGGCAGGAAACCCUUGAUGAGGAGGAAGAAUCCACUUGAUGAGCAGGAAGGAUACAUAAAAGGGAAGGUCAUUAGGAAAGGCCACAACAAGAGGUGAAGUGUUUGUGGGACUAUUGGACACAACAAGAGAUUUCAUGGCUCCCAAAGAUACAGAACAACUAGAGAGAAACAAAAUAAAGAAGAUGCUGGACAUCAUAUGGACCCUAUCAACACAAUUGAUCCUGAAGUGCUUCAAGAGCAUUUCAUUCACAAUAUGAGGGACAUACCUGCUUACACAAACUUUCCUACGAGUUCUGCACCAUCAGUAGAGGCACAUGACAAUCCUGCAGAACAAGUACCCUCAUUACAACCACAGGAUAUCCCCAACCCAGCACAUGAUAUCCAUAUACCUACUGGAAGUGGAAAUCAGGCAGCUGCACCACUGACACAGGGGAGUCAAAUCAAUCAUGAAACCAUCCCCAUAACAACAGCUUGUGUCACGUCCCGACCCGCGGGCCCGCCACGUGACAACCGCCGCGACAAUCCCGAGGAGGGACACACACCACUCAACCCUCGAGUCAUCGCAAGGCUCACAAACUCCUGCUAAACAACACCGCAAUAAUAAAGGUAGAUCAGAAUUAGAACACCCAUGAAACCACCCCCACAACAACAACAACAACUGGAGAUGGAAGAUCAAAGAUGAAAAACUUGUCACAAUGGCAGGGGAAAACUAGCUCCUCUCUAAAAGCCAAGCAAGGAAGCAUAUACCUGCAAAACCGCCUACUCAGGUCAUCCACAACCCAGCACAUGAUCGGCACAGUCCUACAACAACUAGGAGUCAAGCAAGCGCACAAGUAGCACAAGUAUAUCAUUGGAGUACUUCAUUGAUGCUUAAUAUUUACUUGAUGACACACUUAACUUUUUUGAUGGGAAACAUAUUUUUUCCGAUGAAACACAGGUAUAUUAGAAUCAGAAGACUCACCAAACCAUAAUGUGAUCGAAAAAUCAACCACUAUCCAAAUUCCCAUCAAGACCACCUGUGCUAAAAAAUGGAGGAGUGCUAAGAAAUUUAGAAGAUAGAAGCAAACCAAGUGAAAUAGGAAAAAAAAAGAAAAAUUUGGCUUCCACUAAGGAGCAGUGCAUCUCGGAAACCAUAAAUAUGACUUUAUUAAAGUGGGUGAUUCUACAUUGUGCUGCAUGUUUUUGUUUAAAAUUGUGUAUGGACCACUAUAGUGGGGAAUUUUCAUCUUUAACUUAGGUUUUGAAAAAAAAAUGUCAUAUUCUCUUUGUUACCUAUCUCAAUUGAUUAAAAA